rnacentral:rRNA from 1 species
GGGUGAGUAAUGCCUAGGAAUCUGCCUGGUAGUGGGGGACAACGUUUCGAAAGGAACGCUAAUACCGCAUACGUCCUACGGGAGAAAGUGGGGGAUCUUCGGACCUCACGCUAUCAGAUGAGCCUAGGUCGGAUUAGCUUGUAGGUGAGGUAAUGGCUCACCUAGGCAACGAUCCGUAACUGGUCUGAGAGGAUGAUCAGUCACACUGGAACUGAGACACGGUCCAGACUCCUACGGGAGGCAGCAGUGGGGAAUAUUGGACAAUGGGCGAAAGCCUGAUCCAGCCAUGCCGCGUGUGUGAAGAAGGUCUUCGGAUUGUAAAGCACUUUAAGUUGGGAGGAAGGGUUGUAGCUUAAUACGCUGCAACCUUGACGUUACCAACAGAAUAAGCACCGGCUAACUCUGUGCCAGCAGCCGCGGUAAUACAGAGGGUGCAAGCGUUAAUCGGAAUUACUGGGCGUAAAGCGCGCGUAGGCGGCUUGAUAAGAUGGGUGUGAAAUCCCCGGGCUUAACCUGGGAACUGCAUCCAUAACUGUCUGGCUAGAGUACAGUAGAGGGUGGUGGAAUUUCCUGUGUAGCGGUGAAAUGCGUAGAUAUAGGAAGGAACACCAGUGGCGAAGGCGACCACCUGGACUGAUACUGACGCUGAGGUGCGAAAGCGUGGGGAGCAAACAGGAUUA